rnacentral:lncRNA from 1 species
AUGACUAGAUUGAAGAAUGAAUGCUGGCAGCUGAUCGUACUUGCAGUACUGCAAGAUGAAAAGUUUGGCGUUGGAGUGAAGGGUUUCCCAGCCAGACUUUUAUUGGAAGUUGGUGCUGGUGAAGAGAUCAUACUUCACAGGAAAUCUGAAAAGCUUUUGCUUUGGAGUGUUUUGUGGUGUAGUUUUCAAUAAAUUAUUAAAGAUCUGUGUGGUUGAAGGGUUUUUGUAUUUUUUUUUCAAAAAGGGUGAAGAACCAAUGUAAAAUCCCAAAUAUCUCCUAACAUGAG